rnacentral:misc_RNA from 1 species
CAAGAAGCUCUCAGCGAGGUAUCUACAUUCUACGGUUUAUGCUUGAGAGGAUACUUCCAUUGGCCUCUACUGGUUUACUGCCUUGCAGUCAGAAAGCAAUUGCCUAAUACAGGAGGCUGGGGCAUGUGUGGUCCAAACUGCAGUGACAUGGAGUGGUCACUGUAUGUGUUACCUUAUUCGUCAUUUGAAGGUGGUGGACCCAGCGCCGUGGUUCACCAGACACAUCAACUCCAACACCCCAUGUUUCGUAUGCGAUUGGCUUUCCACCUCCUGCAGCUCUUCAUGUGCUACGUGACAGACUUCUUCUAUUAUAAUCCCUCCAAAAUCCGCCCCUCUUCACCUUCUCUCCAUUACCGUCUUCUAGCAACUCAACCCCCUCCUACCUCUUUCUCUCUGAACUCAUCCUUUCUUCCCUUCUUUUCCUCUUCACCACCUUCUCUCUCCCAUGGUUCCACUCUUCCAAUCAUGCCUUCUCAGCCCAACUUCCACUUCUCUCUCCCAAGGUGGAUUGGACUGCUUUGCCACGGAAACCGCCAUAGUGACAGUAGCGGGAGUAGUGGCGACAACAGCAUCAACAGCAACAACAUCAACAUCGAUGACAAUACCGUCUCUAACUCCAUAGAAUGCUAUGCCUGUACCCAGGUUGGCGUUCCUGUCUUCCACUCCACCAGCUGCGACCAUGCCCACCAGCCCGAAUGGGUGGCCUCUGCCGGCUCAUCUCUUGUCCCUAUUCAAAACCUGCCCGGCCCCAAGAAGAUUCCCCCAUCUCGAGCCCAAUCACGCUUACCCAAAGGCCCCUUCGAAACCAUCCUCGACCCGCGUAGCAAGCGCGUCCAGAAGUGGAACCGCGCUUUCCUUCUGGCACGUGGCAUGGCUCUAGCCAUUGAUCCAUUGUUCUUCUAUGCGUUAUCAAUCGGGAGAGGUGGGGCUCCGUGCCUGUACAUGGAUGGUGGGUUAGCAGCAAUUGUGACUGUUCUUCGCACGUGCGUGGACGCAGUGCAUUUGUGCCACUUGUGGUUGCAGUUUAGGUUAGCGUACGUGUCGCGGGAAUCGCUGGUUGUAGGGUGUGGGAAACUCGUAUGGGACGCACGUGCCAUCGCCUCCCACUACGUGCGGUCGUUGAAGGGGUUCUGGUUCGAUGCGUUCGUGAUACUGCCAGUCCCACAGGUGAGUCAAGUUAGAACAGCUAAGUUUGUUUCUCGAACGUUUCUUCUUAACUAAACUUGUCCAAUCACCUGUUGCCACGUCAGAAAAACUUUACUGGAACUAACGGCCGAGUUGGGUUAUCGAGGUGAUGUUAUGAUAUUAAAAAAAGUGUGGGGUACUGGUUUUGGUGAUAAGGGUAGCUGUCUGCUCUGAUGCAUGGUGAUCAUGUUAUGUGUUGGUUUUGUUUGGUUCUAGGUUUCUAUAUGCUUCUUUGCCACCAAGCUUCGUGAGAGACUUGUAACUUGUGUACUUCCUAGCCAGCAAGAUGGUUACCGAUUAAACCUUUAAAGUAUUCUCGAAAUUCAAGACUUCAAAUUUUGGUUAUAAAAAAAAAAAAAAUAGCAUUAGUUUUGAUAUAAUUAAGUGCGAUGGCAGGAUCAAUCAUGAGGAGAGUAUGAAAUAAUAUAUAAUUUAUUCAGUAAAUUAUAUAGUUCACUAGAAAAUCAGUUACACAAAAAUCAAUUAAGUCAUGAACAAAGUGAUACCCAAUCAUUUGUUUUAUCACUGCCAAAUCUUAUUUUUGUUUGCUUUCAUGGCAACCUGGUAAUUACUGUGGGUUGUCAAAAUAUAAGGAGCGUAAUUAAGCUAAUAAUUAGAGUUUUCUUUGAUCAUACUGGUUUUGCAGGCUGUAUUUUGGUUAGUUCUUCCCAAAUUGAUAAGAGAAGAGCAGAUUAAGCUGAUAAUGUCAAUACUUCUAUUGAUCUUCAUGUUCCAAUUUCUCCCUAAAGUGUACCACUGCAUUUACUUGAUGAGAAAAAUGCAGAAGGUCACAGGUUACAUCUUCGGUACUAUUUGGUGGGGUUUUGGACUUAAUCUCAUUGCCUACUUCAUUGCAUCUCAUGUUGCUGGAGGAUGUUGGUAUGUUCUUGCUAUUCAACGCGCUGCUUCUUGCCUCAGGCAGCAGUGUCAAAGAAGACCAAAGUGUGACCUCUCUUUGUCCUGCUCAGAGGAGAUCUGUUAUCAGUUUUUGAUACCUGCAAGCACAAUUGGAAAUCCAUGCGGUGGUAACUUUACUACCACUGUCAAAAAGCCAAUGUGCUUAGAUAUUACAGGGCCAUUCAAGUAUGGCAUUUAUAAAACUGCUCUUCCUGUCAUUUCUAGCAAUUCUCUGGCUGUCAAGAUCCUUUAUCCCAUAUUUUGGGGUUUAAUGACUCUCAGUACCUUUGGCAAUGAUCUGGAACCCACGAGCAAUUGGCUAGAAGUAAUGUUCAGUAUAUGCAUAGUGCUCAGUGGUUUAAUGCUUUUCACUUUAUUGAUUGGGAAUAUCCAGGUGGGUUUCAUUCAUUGAUGUGUUAAAAAUUUUUAACUGAUUAUGAUGAAUGAAGACUAAUAGAUGAAUGCCAUGUAUGAAGGUGUUUCUGCAUGCUGUCAUGGCAAAGAAGAGGAAAAUGCAGCUGAGAUGCAGAGAUAUGGAAUGGUGGAUGAGGCGGAGACAGUUACCGUCUCGUUUGAGGCAGAGAGUUCGCCAUUUUGAACGACAAAGAUGGGCAGCCAUGGGAGGACAUGAUGAGAUGGAAUUAAUCAAAGACUUACCUGAAGGACUCCGAAGAGAUAUCAAGCGCUACCUUUGCCUAGACCUCAUCAAGAAGGUUAAAGACAUGACCAUUCCCAAUGAAAUCUUUUGCCCUCUUUGUCAAUCUUGUUAAUCUACGUUUACCACAACCUGAAUUUCUCAUCAGGUACCUCUGUUCCACAACUUGGAUGAUCUUAUACUGGACAACAUUUGCGACCGGGUUAGGCCCCUUGUAUUCUCUAAAGAUGAAAAGGUGAAAAACCCAGUUCAGGUUAAAUCAUUUCACCGCCUUAUUAGUAAUAGAAUGAAUUGACAAAUUUUCAUGGCCCUGUGAAGCAGAUAAUUAGAGAAGGAGACCCUCUGCAAAGGGUGGUGUUCAUCAUUAGCGGGCGUAUAAAGAGAAGCCAAAGCCUCAGCAAAGGCAUGGUAGCAACAAGUGUUCUUGAAUCAGGAGGGUUUCUGGGUGAUGAGCUGCUCUCUUGGUGCCUUCGCCGCCCAUUUAUAGACCGGCUUCCAGCCUCAUCUGCUACAUUUGUCUGUGUAGAAUCCACAGAAGCAUUUGGUCUUGAUGCAAACCAUCUUCGUUACAUCACAGAUCAUUUCCGCUACAAAUUUGCCAACGAAAGGCUAAAGCGAACUGCGAGAUAUUACUCAUCGAAUUGGCGAACAUGGGCAGCAGUGAACAUACAAUUUGCUUGGCGUCGCUACAGGACGAGGACCAGAGGUCCGGUGAGUCCUCUUGCAGAAAAUGGAGGCUCUGACCGUCGACUACUUCAGUAUGCUGCUAUGUUCAUGUCAAUUAGGCCACAUGACCACCUCGAAUAAGACCUUGUUUAGUUAAUCUUCACUUCUCUUUGUUGCUUAAUAAAAUAUUGUUCCUUUCUUAGGGGCAACAUUAGAUUUUUUUUUUUUUUUGUACUAUAUGAGCCAUUUGAGCAUUGGAAAAGAGACUCAUUCUUCCCAAGUUAAUAAAAAGUUUAUUUUAGUUUCUUU